GUUGAGCCCCCUCCCCUACUA
rnacentral:tRNA from 1 species